UUUUGUGCUCUGAGUGACUGCGGAGGUCAUUACUGUGAUUUAGUACUACACUGCGUGAGCGGAACGAAAACAACAACACCUAAAAUGUGGAAUAUAGCAUAUAGUCGACAAGAGAAAUCUACGAAAAACAAACAAAACUUUCAACAACGGAUCUCUUGGUUCUCGCAUCGAUGAAGAGCGCAGCGAAAUGCGAUACCUAGUGUGAAUUGCAGCCAUCGUGAAUCAUCGAGUUCUUGAACGCACAUUGCGCCCCUCGGCAUUCCGGGGGGCAUGCCUGUUUGAGCGUCGUUUCCAUCUUGCGCGUGCGCAGAGUUGGGGGAGCGGAGCGGACGACGUGUAAAGAGCGUCGGAGCUGCGACUCGCCUGAAAGGGAGCGAAGCUGGCCGAGCGAACUAGACUUUUUUUCAGGGACGCUUGGCGGCCGAGAGCGAGUGUUGCGAGACAACAAAAAGCUCGACCUCAAAUCAGGUAGGAAUACCCGCUGAACUUAAGCAUAUCAAUAAGCGGAGGAAAAGAAACCAACAGGGAUUGCCUCAGUAGCGGCGAGUGAAGCGGCAAGAGCUCAGAUUUGAAAUCGUGCUUUGCGGCACGAGUUGUAGAUUGCAGGUUGGAGUCUGGUGUGGAAGGCGGUGUCCAAGUCCCUUGGAACAGGGCGCCCAGGAGGGUGAGAGCCCCGUGGGAUGCCGGCGGAAGCAGUGAGGCCCUUCUGACGAGUCGAGUUGUUUGGGAAUGCAGCUCCAAGCGGGUGGUAAAUUCCAUCUAAAGCUAAAUACUGGCGAGAGACCGAUAGCGAACAAGUACUGUGAAGGAAGAUGAAAAGCACUUUGAAAAGAGAGUGAAACAGCACGUGAAAUUGUGGAAAGGGAAGGGUAUUGCGCCGACACAUGGGGAUUGCGCACGCUGCCUCCUCGUGGGGCGGCGCUCUGGGCUUUCCCUGGGCAGCAUCGGUCUGCUGCAGGAGAAAGGGUUCUGGACGUGGCUCUUUCGGAGUGUUAUAGCCAGGCCAGAUGCUGCUGCGGGGGACCAGGACUGCGGCUGUAGGUCACGGAUGCUGGCAACGGCGCACACGCC
rnacentral:rRNA from 1 species